rnacentral:piRNA from 1 species
AGCAGAGCAGCUCCCUCGCUGCGAUCUAUUGAAAG